GACGAACGCUGGCGGCGUGCUUAACACAUGCAAGUCGAACGAUGAACCAGGGCUUGCCCUGGGGAUUAGUGGCGAACGGGUGAGUAACACGUGGGCAACCUGCCCCAGACACCGGGAUAACCAUUCGAAAGAGUGGCUAAUACCGGAUACGACCACUUUGGGCAUCCAACGGUGGUGGAAAGGAUUCUGGUCUGGGAUGGGCCCGCGGCCUAUCAGCUUGUUGGUGGGGUAAUGGCCUACCAAGGCGACGACGGGUAGCCGGCCUGAGAGGGCGACCGGCCACACUGGGACUGAGACACGGCCCAGACUCCUACGGGAGGCAGCAGUGGGGAAUAUUGCGCAAUGGGCGAAAGCCUGACGCAGCGACGCCGCGUGAGGGACGAAGGUCUUCGGAUUGUAAACCUCUUUCAGCAGGGACGAAGCGAAAGUGACUGUACCUGAAGAAUAAGCACCGGCUAACUACGUGCCAGCAGCCGCAGUAAAAC
rnacentral:rRNA from 1 species